rnacentral:lncRNA from 1 species
UUUUUUUUUUUUCCUUCUUAGUCGUGUGUACAUCAUUGGGAAUGGAGGGAAAUAAAUGACUGGAUGGUCGCUGCUUUUUAAGUUUCAAAUUGACAUUCCAGACAAGCGGUGCCUGAGCCCGUGCCUGUCUUCAGAUCUUCACAGCACAGUUCCUGGGAAGGUGGAGCCACCAGCCUCUCCCUGACAAGCAAAGUGGAUCAGCAAAGGCUGCAGUCACCAGCAUCUUUUCCAACCUUAAUGAACUGUAUCCUCAAAAGAACACUAUCAGACUGGCUCUGCCGACUUCCAGUUCUGGAACAAGAUGGUUAAACUCAUUUUUCCCUGCUCUGCUCCUCUAAAUACAACUAAGUACCUUGGAAACUAUUCAGCAGACAAUGAUAAAGGGCUCUGAAAGCUAGAAGAAAAGGUGUACUUGCAAGAAACCUCAGGACUUGAGUAACAGCAACAUGGCAGGCCAGAAAGCAGACCCAGGGAGGAUAGCACAUGUCUUCGGCUACACUGGUGAAGGCAUCGUGCCUGCUCCACAGCACAUUUUUAUUCAAGGUUCUUCUGAGCUAUGAAGGGGCCCAGAUUUAAGGGCUAUUUUUGACACCCUAAAUGUGCUGAGACAAGUCAUUAAGGUGGUCCUGCCAGGACACAGCCAUCUAAAGCAGCAAUCUGCUUCUUGCCAGAAAAUCUCGUGCCUCUGCAGAGCCUUUUCCAGAAUGAACCACACCAUGCUGAGGAAAGGAGAAAGAGACUACCUACUGCAUUUCUGUCACUCGCUGAAAAGGACACUCUGUCAGAAAAUCUUCUAGCAAACUUCAAAGGGCAAAAUCACCCCUUGUUACUGAUAAAGCCCAGAGAGCUUCAGCAGCUAACAUUCCCUGGACAGGGCACAGCAAGGAUUUGAACCUAGGUCAGUCUGGCCAGAACACCCACAAGCUUUCCUUAACUCAGUGUGCUAUCUCCCCACGACUAGGUCACUACUGCUUUAUAAUCACCUUUGUAGCCACCAGUGGAUUUUGCUCAUCAGUAUUUUUCAGGCAAUUGAUACUUUAGAUAUUCAGCUGCAAGACGUAUGCAGUUUUCAUUGACAUCUUUUGGAGAAACUGACAAACCUGGACUUGACUUAAUGCCUUUGGAACCUUCCAAGAUGUUAUAUAACUCUAGAUAGAAGGCUGGGCCUCCAUGAUGUCAGGAAUGUUGCAUUCUUAUUUCCCCAUAGAUAAACCCAUUUGUCCACAAAGUCAAGGAGUCAGGCAGAGGCCCUUGCCAUGGGGCUUUUUAGGAUAAAGCAACAAGCCUGGACUUUGCUCUACAACAGGGUUUUGCAUAGGGAGUGGUAUGACCAGAUCCCUCAAGAAAGAAAGCUUAGAGACCAGGCCAGAGUCCACUGCAGUAGCCCAGUCAAGAGAGGAUGGUGACUUGGACUUGUAGUAGAGCCAGUUAGAAUGAAAGAAAUUGACACAUUCAGAAAUGGUUUUAGAGAUAGAGUCAAACUGGACCUGAUAAAGAACUAGAGAAGCGGAGUGAGGAUAAAGAGAAGAGCCAUGACUGACUCGGAAGAUUUUGUCUUGAAAAACUUGAGAACUCAAGACAGAGUGAAAUAAAAUCACAUGUGGGAAAAAUC